rnacentral:rRNA from 1 species
AUGAACGCUGGCGGCGUGCCUAAUACAUGCAAGUCGAGCGAACAGACGAGGAGCUUGCUCCUCUGACGUUAGCGGCGGACGGGUGAGUAACACGUGGAUAACCUACCUAUAAGACUGGGAUAACUUCGGGAAACCGGAGCUAAUACUGGAUAACAUGUUGAACCGCAUGGUUCAACAGUGAAAGACGGUCUUGCUGUCACUUAUAGAUGGAUCCGCGCCGCAUUAGCUAGUUGGUAAGGUAACGGCUUACCAAGGCAACGAUGCGUAGCCGACCUGAGAGGGUGAUCGGCCACACUGGAACUGAGACACGGUCCAGACUCCUACGGGAGGCAGCAGUAGGGAAUCUUCCGCAAUGGGCGAAAGCCUGACGGAGCAACGCCGCGUGAGUGAAGAAGGUCUUCGGAUCGUAAAACUCUGUUAUUAGGGAAGAACAAAUGUGUAAGUAACUAUGCACGUCUUGACGGUACCUAAUCAGAAAGCCACGGCUAACUACGUG